GCUUUCUCUUAUCUCACGACAACUCACUCUAUAUUAUAUAUUGGUAAAUUCUCUCUACUCACUGCCUCUCUCAAUUCUCUCACACAACUUCUUUAUCACUCUUUCUCUUUCUCAGCUCUUCUCCACAAUGUCGGUGCAAUUGUCUUCUGGUUUCUUCCAACAUGGCGGUAAAAAUGGAUUGAGUUAGAGUUAGUCCUUUUCUGGAUUGUUCCCAAUUGCUUGAAGAAGAAGGUUCAAGAAAUGGGCUGCAUUUUAUAUUUUUCUUUGGAAUUUUCUUUAUGUUCUGUGUUGUAUCUUCAAAUAUUACUCCUUUCCACAUAAGCCCUUUUGAAGGUUUCUCAAGACUCAGGAGUUGAAAUAGUUACCGCUAGAAGGAAUUGCUGCCUGAAUUUCUAGCACAACAUUGUGUCCGACAUAGCAAAAGCCACAUCACCCAAUGCAUUGAAAAAGUUAAAUCUCGUUGUAGUCAAGGCUCCUAGGCCAUAAUUCCUAUUUGCCGGAGCUAAGAUCAAGAUGAAAAGGGUGAGCUUGAUCUGACUGAAGGAAU
rnacentral:lncRNA from 1 species